UGCAAGUCACGGUAGAGAGAAUUGCUUCUCUUGAGAGCGGCGGACGGGUGAGUAAUACCUAGGAAUCUGCCUGAUAGUGGGGGAUAACGUUCGGAAACGGACGCUAAUACCGCAUACGUCCUACGGGAGAAAGCAGGGGACCUUCGGGCCUUGCGCUAUCAGAUGAGCCUAGGUCGGAUUAGCUAGUUGGUGAGGUAAUGGCUCACCAAGGCUACGAUCCGUAACUGGUCUGAGAGGAUGAUCAGUCACACUGGAACUGAGACACGGUCCAGACUCCUACGGGAGGCAGCAGUGGGGAAUAUUGGACAAUGGGCGAAAGCCUGAUCCAGCCAUGCCGCGUGUGUGAAGAAGGUCUUCGGAUUGUAAAGCACUUUAAGUUGGGAGGAAGGGCAUUAACCUAAUACGUUAGUGUUUUGACGUUACCGACAGAAUAAGCACCGGCUAACUCUGUGCCAGCAGCCGCGGUAAUACAGAGGGUGCAAGCGUUAAUCGGAAUUACUGGGCGUAAAGCGCGCGUAGGUGGUUUGUUAAGUUGAAUGUGAAAUCCCCGGGCUCAACCUGGGAACUGCAUCCCAAACUGGGAAGCUAGAGUAUGGUAGAGGGUAGUGGAAUUUCCUGUGUAGCGGUGAAAUGCGUAGAUAUACGAAGGAACACCAGUGGCGAAGCGACUACCUGGACUGAUACUGACACUGAUGUGCGAAAGCGUGGGGAGCAAACACGAUUAGAUACCCUGGUAGUCCACGCCUCAAACGAUGUCAACUAGCCGUUGCGAGUCUUGAACUCUUACUGGCGCAGCUACGCAUUAAGUUGACCGCCUGGUGAGUACAGCUGCAGUAAACUCGAUGAAUUGACUGGGGCCCGCACAGCGGUGGAGCAGGGUGUUUUAAUCGAAGUAACGCGAAAAACCUUACACGCCCUUAUCACCCAUGUGACUUUCAAAGAAUAGAUCGGGGCCUUCGGGACAUUGAGACAGGCUGUGCAUGUGACGUCAGCUCG
rnacentral:rRNA from 1 species